rnacentral:rRNA from 1 species
UACGGAGGGUGCACGCGUUAAUCGGACUUACUGGGCGUAACGCGCACGCAGGCGGUUUGUUAAGUCAGAUGUGAAAUCCCCGAGCUUAACUUGGGAACUGCAUUUGAAACUGGCAAGCUAGAGUCUUGUAGAGGGGGGUAGAAUUCCAGGUGUAGCGGUGAAAUGCGUAGAGAUCUGGAGGAAUACCGGUGGCGAAGGCGGCCCCCUGGACAAAGACUGACGCUCAGGUGCGAAAGCGUGGGGAGCAAACAGG